AGUGAACGCUGGCGGUAGGCCUAACACAUGCAAGUCGAACGGCAGCACAGUAAGAGCUUGCUCUUACGGGUGGCGAGUGGCGGACGGGUGAGGAAUACAUCGGAAUCUACUUUUUCGUGGGGGAUAACGUAGGGAAACUUACGCUAAUACCGCAUACGACCUACGGGUGAAAGCAGGGGAUCUUCGGACCUUGCGCGAUUGAAUGAGCCGAUGUCGGAUUAGCUGGUUGGCGGGGUAAAGGCCCACCAAGGCGACGAUCCGUAGCUGGUCUGAGAGGCUGGUCGGCCACACUGGAACUGAGACACGGUCAAGACUCCUACGGGACGCCGCAGUGGGGAAUAUUGGGCAAUGGGCGCAAGUCUGGUCCAGCCAUCCCGCGUCGGUGAAGACGGCCUUCGGGUUGUAAAGCCCUUUUGUUGGGAAAGAAACGCAGCAGGUUAAUACCCCGCUGUUCUGACGGUACCCAAAGAAUAAGCACCGGCUAACUUCGUG
rnacentral:rRNA from 1 species